rnacentral:rRNA from 1 species
UACGUAGGUGGCAAGCGUUGUCCGGAUUUACUGGGCGUAAAGGGCGUGCAGGCGGCGCGUUAAGACAGGUGUGAAAGCCCCCGAGCUUAACUUGGGAAUUGCGCUUGUGACUGGCGUGCUGGAGUGUGGCAGAGGGAGGUGGAAUUCCACGUGUAGCAGUGAAAUGCGUAGAGAUGUGGAGGAACACCGAUGGCGAAGGCAGCCUCCUGGGCCAGCACUGACGCUCAUGCACGAAAGCGUGGGGAGCAAACAGG